rnacentral:rRNA from 1 species
UACGUAGGGUGCGAGCGUUGUCCGGAAUUACUGGGCGUAAAGAGCUCGUAGGUGGUUUGUCGCGUUGUUCGUGAAAACCUGAGGCUUAACCUUGGGCGUGCGGGCGAUACGGGCAGACUGGAGUACUGCAGGGGAGACUGGAAUUCCUGGUGUAGCGGUGGAAUGCGCAGAUAUCAGGAGGAACACCGGUGGCGAAGGCGGGUCUCUGGGCCGAUACUGACGCUGAGGAGCGAAAGCGUGGGGGGCGAACAGG